rnacentral:rRNA from 1 species
AGAGCGAACGCUGGCGGCAGGCUUAACACAUGCAAGUCGAACGGAUCCUUCGGGAUUAGUGGCGGACGGGUGAGUAACACGUGGGAACGUGCCUUUAGGUUCGGAACAACACAGGGAAACUUGUGCUAAUACCGGAUGUGCCCUUCGGGGGAAAGAUUUAUCGCCUUUAGAGCGGCCCGCGUCUGAUUAGCUUGUUGGUGAGGUAAAGGCUCACCAAGACUACGAUCAGUAGCUGGUCUGAGAGGAUGGCCAGCCACAUUGGGACUGAGACACGGCCCAAACUCCUACGGGAGGCAGCAGUGGGGAAUCUUGCGCAAUGGGGGAAACCCUGACGCAGCCAUGCCGCGUGGAUGAUGAAGGUCUUAGGAUUGUAAAAUCCUUUCAGCGGGGACGAUAAUGACGGUACCCGCAGAAGAAGCCCCGGCUAACUUCGUGCCAGCAGCCGC